UUGGUCUGUGCCACUACUGCUCCAAGCUCUCCCUCAAACUUUUACCAACCUCUGUCUGGGAAUUUACAUGAGCUCAGUUGUUAAUGCUCACCAUGUAUUCAAGGAAGCAAGACACGAGUUCAGGGUAUGCUCAGCAUCUGGGAUUGUCCCAGCACAAAGCUCCAGAAACUCAAAGCAUGUUCAUGUCUCCCACAGGCAGCAGCCCCUCACACAAGGCCCAGCUCCCUUCCAGAGGGCCAGCCAUGCCCCUGGAGGUCUGGAUCCUGCGCUCUGCCCUCAGCCUGCUCCUGCUGCUGUCUGCCCCCAUCAUCACUCUCCUCCUGGAGAGAUGGAGCCAUGGUGCCAGCAGGGCCAGGCAGCCUGGAGACGUCCCUGUCCCCAUGGAGCUCUGAUGUCCCCCUGGGCUCCAUGCUGUCACCAGCCUGCUCCCUCAUGCUCAGAGCAUGACCCCCACACAUUUCCCAGACUCCCGCUGUUGUUGGGUUCAAGGCAGCUGUGGCAGCAUGCCCAAGGGAUGUGCUGCCACUGCCCUGCUUCCCUUGGCUCAGACCCUGCUCUCUGCUGCCAUCAAGGACUGCCACUGGAUCGCGCACCCUCCCGGCUGGGUUCAACCCCAACACCCACGUGGCUGCCCCUACUGCACUCAGAAUCACAUCUUGAUCGUGGGAUCCACCUCUGCAUGCUGGGAGAACAUAAGGGGAAGGAGUCAUGGCUGCACCCCCAGGCAGCCAUGCUCUGCAUCUCCUGCAUCACUCCAGCAUCUCCCUGUGCUCAAGGUGAUGCCAGACGCAAUGGGCACAUCCCCAGGUGGUUACAGUGCUGCUUCUGGAGGCACCAUAUUGGGCACUGGCCCUGUGGGAGGCAAUUUAUAAAGAAUGGGUUCAGAAUGCACCAGCUGAUGUUUUUGCUCUGUAUUUAAGUAGGAAGCCAGUGAGCAGAGCUGGGAGAGCUCCUCUAUGACUGCUGUGUAGGGCCAUGUGUCCUGUGAGGAAGCUGCUUUUUCCUGUGCCAUGCCACACAAGUGUUCCCCUACCUUCUGCCAUUGUCCUGGCAGAUGUGACAUGGAAAAAUGCCGAUGUGAGGAUGGCUGAGGCCAUGUAGAUGACCAGAGGGUGGCCAUGCUUGGCCCCAUGAACCCCACACCUGUCCCUCUGCACCCCACACCCAUCCAUCCCUCUGCUGGGUCUUCUGGCUAUCAAUGCAACAUCCCCAGGAGACAGACCUGAGCAGGGAUGUUGUGCACAGGGGUAUCCAGCUGUGGGGCAGGUGGGGAUGGGGUCUCAGCAUGGCUGGCCCCCACACCAACAGACUAUCCCCAGCCUUGCACUAUGGGCUUUUAGACAUCCCACACCAAUACCUGGAAGGAGCCAAGGUGUCCCUUCAUUGCAGCUCCCAGUGCUGACAUCUGGGGCCUUAGUGUGCAGCGGGGGACUCUGGGACAAGAUGGGUGCAGGCAGGAGAGGAGCUGCUCAGCUGGGAGGCAUAAGGCUGCAAGACUACAUGGAGGGCAUAGGGGAAAGGAGAAUGGUUUGAAAACUCAGCAAGAGCUGCUUGGAGGCAGAGCUGGAGGGGACAUGGGUUUCAGGCUCCUUCCUGCAAGGAAAUUCCCUCACCUCUCCAACCCUAAUCAACACACUUGUCUCACAGCUUCCUUCAGGCCCAUGCAUUCAUGUUUCACAGCACAAGCCUCCAGGAGACUUUUCCUUAAAGGGAAGAAAUGGAGUUAGGUGCAAGGAGCUACUCCCUCAUUCCCAUACAGCCUCCAGUCCUCCCUGGUGAUUGAAUGCCCAUUGUGGUGUCAGCUGCACACUUGUUGAGGGUAACCUCUACCCCAGCAUCCUCAGAGUAAUACCAAUGUUGAAUUCAAUUGGAUGUUGUUUGGACCCUUGGGGUACACCACUGAUUAGUGUCUUUCAACU
rnacentral:lncRNA from 1 species